UCGAACGAUACUCUUUAGCUUGCUAUAGAGGAAAGUGGCGCACGGGUGCGUAACGCGUAUGCAACCUACCUUAAUCAGGGGGAUAGCCCGAAGAAAUUCGGAUUAACACCGCAUAAAAACACAGGAUAGCAUUAUCCAAUGUUCAAAUAUUUAUAGGAUUAAGAUGGGCAUGCGUGUCAUUAGCUAGUUGGCGGGGUAACGGCCCACCAAGGCGACGAUGACUAGGGGAUCUGAGAGGAUGACCCCCCACACUGGUACUGAGACACGGACCAGACUCCUACGGGAGGCAGCAGUAAGGAAUAUUGGUCAAUGGAGGCAACUCUGAACCAGCCAUGCCGCGUGCAGGAAGACAGCCCUCUGGGUCGUAAACUGCUUUUAUUCGGGAAUAAACCUAUUUACGUGUAAAUAGCUGAAUGUACCGAAGGAAUAAGGAUCGGCUAACUCCGUGCCAGCAGCCGCGGUAAUACGGAGGAUCCAAGCGUUAUCCGGAUUUAUUGGGUUUAAAGGGUGCGUAGGCGGCUUAUUAAGUCAGGGGUGAAAGACGGUGGCUCAACCAUCGCAGUGCCCUUGAUACUGAUGAGCUUGAAUACACUAGAGGUAGGCGGAAUGUGACAAGUAGCGGUGAAAUGCAUAGAUAUGUCACAGAACACCGAUUGCGAAGGCAGCUUACUAUGGUGUGAUUGACGCUGAGGCACGAAAGCGUGGGGAUCAAACAGGAUUAGAUACCCUGGUAGUCCACGCCCUAAACGAUGAAUACUCGCUGUUAGCGAUAUACAGUUAGCGGCUAAGCGAAAGCGUUAAGUAUUCCACCUGGGGAGUACGCCCGCAAGGGUGAAACUCAAAGGAAUUGACGGGGGCCCGCACAAGCGGAGGAGCAUGUGGUUUAAUUCGAUGAUACGCGAGGAACCUUACCCGGGCUUGAAAGUUAGUGAAUUAUCUAGAGAUAGAUAAGUGAGCAAUCACACGAAACUAGGUGCUGCAUGGCUGUCGUCAGCUCGUGCCGUGA
rnacentral:rRNA from 1 species